rnacentral:tRNA from 1 species
GGCGAGGUAGUUUAUUUAAGAAUUUCUAUUUUACACGUAGGAGGAGGGAUUUGGUCUUAUCGUCA